rnacentral:tRNA from 1 species
UCGACUUUAAAAAUCGUGAGGGUUCAAGUCCCUCUAUCCCCA